UUGGUUCAAAUGUUGCUGUUUC
rnacentral:piRNA from 1 species